rnacentral:lncRNA from 1 species
GGAGCCUGGAGGGGCUUGGAGGGCAGAGGAGGAGCCCGGAGGAAGGAAGGCUGAGGAGGCUCUUGGGGGAGGAUGGCUUAGUCUGGACAGGAAAAGGGCUGGAGCAAGAGGUUGAGAAGGGCUCUAGGAGGAGCUCUGGGCCCAGGACAGCUGCCCCCCAGCCAGAGACAGAGAUCCCUCGGGUUGGAUCACCGGCUUUGUGGCCCUCUCCCUAACUCCAUCAGGAUGAAACAGUUCCUGCCCCAGAGGGUUACCCAAAGGAAACAGAAAGCAUGCGGUCAGUUUGGGGAGGGAGUGGAGCUAGCUGCUCCUUGAAUCCCUGCGGGCUUCAUGGAGGCUGCGCUGAGCCUUGAAGGAGCCAGUCAGAGAUGCAAAAGUAAACUUCCAGGUUGAAGAGCCUGCCGUUGAGAACGGUGCCCCCUUGCUCGGGAAGCCGCCCCGGACCUCCCUCCCUCUGCUGCCGGUGGAAGCCUCUCCAAGCCUAAUUUGGAAGCGACGGCGCCGAGAACUUGGGGCUGGGCCGGGGCCGGACCCUGGUCCCCAGCCCGGGGGUCUGUGUGCCGGCCGUCAGUCCGCGUCUCGCUCUCCCCGGGUCCAAGCCCUCCCGGCCCGGGCCAGGAACGAGACCCCCACUCUCCGGAGCCCCCCGCGCCGCUGCUGAGGGUCAGCCGCCUCCUUCGCCUGGCGGGGCGCCCGGGUCCGUUCUCCCUUUGUCCGGGUCCGGCCCGGCCCGCGCGCCCCGCGGUCCCGGCCAAGCCGAGCCGGAGGGGCGGGGGCGGUCCGGCCCCAACCUCUUGUCCCGGGCCGUCGGGCCCCCUCCGCCCCCGCCCUCCUCUCUCGGGUUUCCUCUUCCUCCCGCCUCCUUCGCUCGACGCCGGUGUGUGCGGGGCCCCGGCGGAGCCCGGGCCGGGAGGAAGGAGGAGAAGGGGUGGCGGCGGCCGGGCUGGGCAGAGCGGAGCUCGCGAGGGCCCGGCUCGGGGAGACCUUGGGGGGCUUCUCGCCCUGCUUCCCCGCCUCGGCUUCGGCCGCGAACCCCGGGCGCCGCCGCCUCGGCUGCUUGGUCCCGCGUCUGCCCGGCUCCCGAGGCGUCCCCGCCGCCAGCCCGGACCCCCGAAAGUCCGGAGACUCCAGGCCCGGGGCAGUCCUGCAGUCCCGCCGCGGCCCGGGCGGCCAGAUCCCCAGGCGCCAGCACGGGUUCUCUGGGUGCUCCCCCUGACCUCCCCUUGCUCCUGGGCGGCCCCAUGGCUCAGCCCAUUCCAUCCCCUGGGGAGAAACGUCUCGGGCCACGUCCUCAUCCCUGACCCGGGACCCCCGCCCAGCCGCAGACAGUGGGCCUAAGAGAACUGGGCGUUGGGUGCCCGCGGAUGCCCAAGACUUCCAGGGCCGGUGUGAGCGGCCAACAGCCCAGCAUGGAGCCCGGCGUCCGGGGCACCGGGCAGAUGGCCUUCCUCAGCAAUCUGCUGGCGGCUUACUCCUUCAUCAGUGAGCACCCUGAGCGCGCGGCCCUGUGCUUCGUGUCCGGCGUGUGCGUGGGGCUCGUGCUCACGCUGGCCGCCUUGGUGCUGACCGUGUCCUGCCGCGCCGACUGCCGGCCGCGGCGCGGGAAGAAGGGCCCGGCCGGGCGCCGCGGCGGCAGCU